GCAAUCCUUGUCUUGGGGAGCAUAAUAUCCAAUGAACGUUUAGUGAGGAUAUUGAUGCUGACAACCCAUAGCUUCGGUAUGAUCUCGAUCGUAUCGUGAGAAACCCCCGCCCUGGGUAGUUGCUUUCGAACAGUGGCUACUUGGGCGGAAUUUUUGGGACG